GACGAACGCUGGCGGCGUGCUUAACACAUGCAAGUCGAGCGGUAAGGCCCUUUCGGGGGUACGACGAGCGGCGAACGGGUGAGUAACACGUGGGUGACCUGCCUUUAGCUCUGGGAUAAGCCUGGGAAACUGGGUCUAAUACCGGAUACGACUCCGCGGUGCAUGCUGUGGGGUGGAAAGCCUUGUGCGGCUGGAGAUGGGCCCGCGGCCUAUCAGCUUGUUGGUGGGGUGAUGGCCUACCAAGGCGACGACGGGUAGCCGGCCUGAGAGGGCGACCGGCCACACUGGGACUGAGACACGGCCCAGACUCCUACGGGAGGCAGCAGUGGGGAAUCUUGCGCAAUGGGCGAAAGCCCGACGCAGCGACGCCGCGUGAGGGAUGACGGCC
rnacentral:rRNA from 1 species